rnacentral:rRNA from 1 species
CCUACGGGAGGCAGCAGUGAGGAAUAUUGGUCAAUGGGCGAGAGCCUGAACCAGCCAAGUCGCGUGAAGGAUGACGGCCCUACGGGUUGUAAACUUCUUUUGUCAGGGAGCAAGUGGGUCCACGCGUGGGCUGAGCGAGAGGACCUGAAGAAAAAGCAGCGGCGAACUCCGUGCCAGCAGCCGCGGGAAUACGGAGGAUGCGAGCGUUCUCCGGAUUUAUUGGGUUUAAAGGGUGCGUAUGCGGAAUAUCAAGUCAGCGGUACAACUUCGGGGCGCAACCCCGUCGUGCCGUUGAAACUGCUGGUCUUGCUUGUGCGAGCAGUAUGCGGAAUGCGUGGUGUAGCGGUGAAAUGCAUAGAUAUCACGCAGAACUCCGAUUGCGAAGGCAGCAUACCGGCGCCCAACUGACGCUGACGCACGAAAGCGUGGGUAUCGAACAGGAUUAGAUACCCGGGUAGUC